rnacentral:rRNA from 1 species
GUCGAGCGGACAGAUGGGAGCUUGCUCCCUGAUGUUAGCGGCGGACGGGUGAGUAACACGUGGGUAACCUGCCUGUAAGACUGGGAUAACUCCGGGAAACCGGGGCUAAUACCGGAUGGUUGUUUGAACCGCAUGGUUCAAACAUAAAAGGUGGCUUCGGCUACCACUUACAGAUGGACCCGCGGCGCAUUAGCUAGUUGGUGAGGUAACGGCUCACCAAGGCAACGAUGCGUAGCCGACCUGAGAGGGUGAUCGGCCACACUGGGACUGAGACACGGCCCAGACUCCUACGGGAGGCAGCAGUAGGGAAUCUUCCGCAAUGGACGAAAGUCUGACGGAGCAACGCCGCGUGAGUGAUGAAGGUUUUCGGAUCGUAAAGCUCUGUUGUUAGGGAAGAACAAGUACCGUUCGAAUAGGGCGGUACCUUGACGGUACCUAACCAGAAAGCCACGGCUAACUACGUGCCAGCAGCCGCGGUAAUACGUAGGUGGCAAGCGUUGUCCGGAAUUAUUGGGCGUAAAGGGCUCGCAGGCGGUUUCUUAAGUCUGAUGUGAAAGCCCCCGGCUCAACCGGGGAGGGUCAUUGGAAACUGGGGAACUUGAGUGCAGAAGAGGAGAGUGGAAUUCCACGUGUAGCGGUGAAAUGCGUAGAGAUGUGGAGGAACACCAGUGGCGAAGGCGACUCUCUGGUCUGUAACUGACGCUGAGGAGCGAAAGCGUGGGGAGCGAACAGGAUUAGAUACCCUGGUAGUCCACGCCGUAAACGAUGAGUGCUAAGUGUUAGGGGGUUUCCGCCCCUUAUU